GGAAACCCUGAACAGCAACAAGGCUGCAUGUCUAGGUGAAAGGUUGAUACAGGCUUGAAGAAAGAGUCACCGAGGGUUGCUGUCAUUACAGUGUGUGAUAGACUGACUGAAAGGCUCUGAAAGACAUAAGGGAAGGAAACAGGGUAAGGAGUGCCCAGAAUGGCUUAAGACAAGUACAAAACCCGAUAGAUUUUACAGGAACUGGAAACCCUUUAUUGACCUUCUGCAAGAGAUGGAUAAUGGACUUGCGAUUGCUGGAUUUGAAGAGUAAAAAAAAAAAAAAAAAAAAGAAGAAGAAGAAAGAACAGUUUCAGUGAAAAAAAGAAGGAAUGAGUACAGGAUGUCGAAGAACAUGAAGUUUAGAAGAAACUGUUAAUGAAGGAUGAAUUUGAUAAUAAUAGUGACUUAAGAAUGUAAUGUAAACUGUAAUUUUAUAUAUUUGAAAUACAA
rnacentral:lncRNA from 1 species